rnacentral:rRNA from 1 species
AGUGAACGCUGGCGGUAGGCCUAACACAUGCAAGUCGAACGGCAGCACAGUAAGAGCUUGCUCUUACGGGUGGCGAGUGGCGGACGGGUGAGGAAUACAUCGGAAUCUACUUUUUCGUGGGGGAUAACGUAGGGAAACUUACGCUAAUACCGCAUACGACCUACGGGUGAAAGCAGGGGAUCUUCGGACCUUGCGCGAUUGAAUGAGCCGAUGUCGGAUUAGCUAGUUGGCGGGGUAAAGGCCCACCAAGGCGACGAUCCGUAGCUGGUCUGAGAGGAUGAUCAGCCACACUGGAACUGAGACACGGUCCAGACUCCUACGGGAGGCAGCAGUGGGGAAUAUUGGACAAAGGGCGCAAGCCUGAUCCAGCCAUACCGCGUGGGUGAAGAAGGCCUUCGAGUUGUAAAGCCCUUUUGUUGGGAAAGAAAAGCAGCAGGUUAAUACCCCGCUGUUCUGACGGUACCCAAAGAAUAGGCACCGGCUAACUUCGUG